CAGCCGCCGCGGUAACACGUAGGGGGCUAGCGUUGUUCGGAAUUACUGGGCGUAAAGCGCACGUAGGCGGCUUGGUAAGUUAGAGGUGAAAGCCUGGAGCUCAACUCCAGAAUUGCCUUUAAGACUGCCGAGCUAGCAGGUGAGAGAGGUAAGUGGAAUUCCGAGUGUAGAGGUGAAAUUCGUAGAUAUUCGGAAGAACACCAGUGGCGAAGGCGGCUUACUGGCUCAUACUGGACGCUGAGGUGCGAAAGCGUGGGGAGCAAACAGGAUUAGAUACCCGCGUAGUCCCUGUCUCUUAUAC
rnacentral:rRNA from 1 species